GGUGGCAUGCCCGAGCGGCUAAAGGGGGCAGACUGUAAAUCUGCUGGCAGACGCCUACGGUGGUUCGAAUCCAUCUGCCACCA
rnacentral:tRNA from 1 species